GAUGAACGCUAGCGGGAGGCUUAACACAUGCAAGUCGAGGGGCAGCAUAGGGUAGCAAUACUCUGAUGGCGACCGGCAAACGGGUGAGUAACGCGUAUGCAACCUACCCUGUACAGGGGGAUAACCCGGAGAAAUUCGGACUAAUAUCCCGUAAUAAUAUCCGGAGGCAUCUUUGGAUAUUUAAAGUUCCGACGGUACGGGAUGGGCAUGCGUAACAUUAGCUGGUUGGUAAGGUAACGGCUUACCAAGGCUAUGAUGUUUAGGGGUCCUGAGAGGGUGGUCCCCCACACUGGUGCUGAGACACGGACCAGACUCCUACGGGAGGCAGCAGUGAGGAAUAUUGGUCAAUGGGCGCAAGCCUGAACCAGCCAUCCCGCGUGCAGGAAGACGGCCCUAUGGGUUGUAAACUGCUUUUCCAGGGAGAGAAACUUACGCACGUGUUGCGUGACUGACGGUACCCUGGGAAUAAGCAUCGGCUAACUCCGUGCCAGCAGCCGCGGUAAACACGGAGAGUA
rnacentral:rRNA from 1 species